rnacentral:rRNA from 1 species
UACGGAGGGGGCUAGCGUUGUUCGGAAUUACUGGGCGUAAAGCGCGCGUAGGCGGCUUUGUAAGUUAGAGGUGAAAGCCUGGAGCUCAACUCCAGAACUGCCUUUAAGACUGCAUCGCUAGAAUCGUGGAGAGGUGAGUGGAAUUCCGAGUGUAGAGGUGAAAUUCGUAGAUAUUCGGAAGAACACCAGUGGCGAAGGCGACUCACUGGACACGUAUUGACGCUGAGGUGCGAAAGCGUGGGGGAGCAAACAGG